CAACCUGUGCCUAAAACAGGUUGGAGUGGCCUUCUACACCGUGGGACGUUCCCUCAGCACUGUAUUUAAUGUUUUGCUGUCAUAUGGGAUCUUGAAACAAACCACUUCCUUCAAAGCCAUAUUGUGCUGUGGGGUCAUUCUCGGUACGUCGGUUCAUCUUUCUCUUAGUCUUUUCAUAAAAUGGACGAAUGUGUUCGGAAAUCUGAAGUGGUCUUGUGAUCUUAAAGAAACCCCACUUGAGUUAAAAAAUAAAAAUUAUGGCGCUAAAAUGGAAUUCUGGAGAGCGGACGUUGAUCUUCAUUUCGGUUAACAACAAAUUGUACCAAGUGGAGGAACAAGAAGAAUAGUUCAUCUCACUGUUUACAAAUAAUAGUCUAAUAAUAGUAUUGCUGCCACACACCCCAAAACAAAAACAAAAAGUUUACUAUCAUGUUAUCACGUGAUAAGUUUCAAGUUAUCACAGAAGUUUGUUAUAACGUGAUAUGUUUCACAUUAUAAUAUGCUAAAAAUUUCAUGUUAUAAAUUGAUAAAAUUUCACAUUAUAACAUGCUAAAAAUUUCAUGUUAUAACGUGAUAAAAUUUAACGAUAUAACAAGUUUCAGAUUACAAUGUGAUCCGUUUCACAUUGUAACAUGAUACAUUCCAUGUUAUAACGUGGUAAGUUUCACAUGAUAACGUGAAACAUAUUACGUUAAAACAUAAGUUUCACAUAACGUGAAAAAGUUGGCCUCGCAGAGGACGUCAACUUGUUGCGACCCUGUGGUCACUCACAUCCUUUCAAGGUGGCGUUAAGGACACAGGAAGAUACAGCUAGAGGUGGCCUCUAUGGUUGAGUGAUGCGCAAAACAUGGAUUUGCUGACCUUUUUACGAAGUCAUGGCGUACCAGAAGAUUGCCUCUUAUGCUGGAGCAAGAACAUAUGGAUGCCACAGUCAUUGGGUUCAUAGAUGACAGUCUGGCUGGCUACAUCCCAACAUAUGAAGAUGGGAUAGCAGCAAGACGCUUCUGUUUGGAAAACAAAGGUGCAAAUAAAGGAACAAGAGAAUAAAAAAAAAAAAACAUUUGCUGCUUGAAAAACUAAAGAAAAAGAUGGGUGCUGGGAAUGAGGAUAAUGAAGGUGAUCAUGAGGAGACUUCAACUGAAAAGCGGAAAAGAACCUACACAAAAAACAACAAAUGGGCUGAAAAGCCGACCAGAAAAGUUGAGUUGGGGUGAAUUCAUGAAGGUAAACAAAUAAGGAAUCGCAGAGGAGGGGGAACGAGGAUGUGUCCAAAGAGUCCAAAAAGCUGGUAUAUUACACUACGCUAAAGACAUUUUCUUUACAAAUGGAAAAAGUAGAUUUGGAAGAUGUGAAGCAUUCAGUAAUGCAAUAUUAGACGAUUAGGAGGAAGCUGUACUUGAUGAAGAUAUGACAAUUGGCAACCUCUGCAAAGUACUAAGGUUUUACCAUUGCACUAAUAGACAGAUAGACUCUGAUGGGGAAAGCUCUGAUGCAAAUAUUGAUGUACAGCUGAGAGACAAGAGGAUGAUCCUCAAACCAUCGUCAUUCAGUCGGCUGAUUUGAAAGAAUUUGAUGCCGAUUUAAUUUCUGACUCAUCUGAGGUGAUGAUUGGCCAUUUCCUUGGAGAACCCAUGGCAAGUCAGCUGGAUGACACUUUGAUGCAUCAGCCCACCCUGCAAUUUGAAAUAGACGAGCUGGCCAUCCCAGCAGUCACUCUUCCCUUAUUAAGCACAGCAACAUUCAGCACUCCAGACACAGCUUUUACAGGUGAUCAGGCAAGUGAUUCUACAGCGCCAUAUAAUCUUGUCAUUGCCAUAAAACUUCAGAGUCAAUCUUCUGGAGAAGAUGAUUAGCCUGUUUAAGGACGCAGCACAGCAAACACUCCUUAAAAUACACUUACAACGAUGAAAAAGGAGCUGAUGCAGAUGGUGUCUCAAGGGAUGUCGAUGCUGCAUUUUGGACAGAGUUUAUGGACCACACAGCUGAGGGGGAGGAUGUGGAGUUCCAUCACUAUCUCCUAGAUGGCGGGAAGAAGAGUGGAAAUCCUUUGGCCAAAUUCUGCUGAAAGGAUUUGAAGACCAUGGAUACUUGUCGCCUUGCCCCUGUUUUCACAGUGGCACUUAUUUUUGGUGUGAAAAUAGUCUCAGAUGAUUUAUUUGUAAGUCUUCUCCUGUACAUAAGUCAAUCAGAUAGUGAUCUGAUAACCACUGCCUUAAAAGAUUAUCUUUCUGGUGAGGACAAAGAUGAACUACUCGAUCUUCUGGACCACUUGGAUGUAACAUGUCUUCCCACAAAAGAGAAUAUGAAAGGCAUCCUUCUAAGUGGCACCCAAGCAGUUGAUCCAAAAACCAAGAUAUGCAGCAGGAAAAAAAAUCAUUAAUUGUUUUCACCUCCCUAAAAGAAGCAUUUGUGAGCUCACAAGAUCUCCUCAAAAUGUAUCAGGAUAAAAAUCCAACAACAAAAAAGCUUUUGAAGCUGCUGACGGCAUCUCUUACUACUCAAGCAGAGAAUCAAAGUUUGUGUUUUCUGCAACAUCAGAGGACUGGAUGAUACAGGACUUAGAAAAUUAAGGUUUGUCAAAGGGUCAGAUGUUAUCUCUGUUGACAAGGUUGAGAUCCUCUUCACACCAGCAGCUGGACGAGCAAGACGACCAGUAGCUCAUACUUGUAGGCCAGUUCUGGAACUCCCAUGGACAUCCACUUCUUACCCAGAAUUACGCACUGAAAUGGAGAGCAUACUUGUUGCUGAAAGCUCCUUUCAGUUCAACAUAGUUUAGGUCCUGAGCACUCUGGAGAAGGUUUUCGUCCAGGAUAUCCCUGUACCCAAGUACAGCAUUCAUCUUCCCUUCGAUUGGAACCAGUCUUUCUGUCCCUGCAGCUGAAAAACACCCCCACCACCAUGCUUCACUGUUGCAUACACCUCUACUAAUUUCACUUCUAUGACAAUAACGGGGGUGCCAUUCCCCAGCUGGCGCGCUCUCCAGCACCCCCUCUAAGGACUCCAAAAGGACUGUUUGGUGCAUAGGCAUUGGUGUAGCUGGGGAUCGGAUUUCCAAGGUCCCUGCCUUCAGCCACCGCCCAGCUCACACUGUACCCGACCCCUCUGGCCCCUCCCACAGGUGCUGAGCCCAUGGGAAGGGGAACCCACGUUACCCUUUCGGGGUGCAGGCGCUUGCCUUCGAGCCCCACCUCCAGGCCUGGCUCCAGAGGGGGGCCCCGGUGACCCGCGUCCGGGCAAGGAAAACCUUAAGCCAUUAAUAUUUUUAUCAUAGGGGUCUUUUAGCCAUGCUUUGUCUGGUCCCUCACCUAGGACCUCUUUGCCAUGGGUGACCCUACCAGGGGCGUGAAGCCCCAGACAACUUAGCUCCUAGGAUCAUUGGGACACACAAACCCCUCCACCACGAUAAGGUGACGGCUUCCAGGAGGGGUUGAGUCGGCGUGUUUUGUUCAAAUCGAUUACUGUGAUUCGUUGCAAAAGGAAGGCAGCCGCAUGAGGUGAAUGCAUGCAGAUUCAUUUCCACCUGUAUAUACCGGUUUCGUCAGCUCAUUUUAUUGAUUGCAUCGCUCACCUUUAAAAAAGAGUUUGGGAAGGUGACCUAACACAGGCGUUUGCUUUUGUGAAGCUAAAGGCUAGUUACACUGUGGUAAUGCCAGAUUUUGAUGGGCACUGCUGGCUGGCGCCGUGUUUGUAUCAUUUUAAUUAAUGAUACUGUAUUAGUGAUUUUUUUUAGCUUUUUAAAUUAGCGAUUGAACAUAACUUUGGGUGCUUUUGUGUUGAUUCAAUAU